UUAACCUCACUCCUGUUUAUAAUCUACAGGAAUAGUUAACUAGAAUAGCCCAACACCACAGUUCAUUUACAGAACUCUGAAGAAAUAUUUAAAGCCAAACAAAAUCGAAAGCAUCUGACCUUGAAAAUAAUGUUCCUCACACGGCAUGCACAGGACACUGAUGGCUGUUGGAGUUGUUGAGAAGGCUUCACAAGUAUACCUGGGGCAAGCAGAGGUCACUUUCUUGAUGGCUGCUUCUCUGAAAAUGUCCACUAAGUUUCCAGGGUCUUCUUGAGCCUGCUUGAAAGGGGCUGAACUCUCUGUGCCCUUCUGUUUGCUGUGAUGUGGACACUUCCCGGUGAACUCAACUGGAAAGCCAAGAACAAGAAUGAGGAAAGAGAGAGAUCAGUCUCCAGUCACCGAGACAACUAAUUACAUUCUAAGCAAAUGACCUGACGGGAGCAGAGGCCAGGGUAGCGGGGAGUUACGCUGGAAGAGCAGGACGCUUUGAUGUUCGACUAUCUGGUUGAAGAUUAAUCAACCAACAAGAAGAUUUAUAGUGACUUGAAAGAGGAAGUCCACGUAGACAUGGCAACGAGAUCACGGGCUUUGACUGCCACCCACUACUACCCACUGAGCUGACCAGGAACCCCAGCAACAGGCUACUUUGCAAAAAAAAAAAAAAAAAAAAAAAAAA